rnacentral:lncRNA from 1 species
AAGGUAAGAUGUGAAGAAGAGAUGAGUGACCUUAGAGGAGAAAGAUUACUAGUUAAUCCCUCCAAGGGUGGUCGGCCUCUUAAGAGAGAAAAGAGAGUUUGUGUUCUCAUCUUUUCUCCAAAAGAAACCCUAAAUGAAUUUUGGCUAUAAAGUCAUAUUUAUACCUUUAUUCAUUGGAGUGGCAAACUUGUAAUUAAGUCCAAAACCCACUCCUUUAACAAAAUGGCCGGCCAUAGGGUUUCAUUGGGCUUUUAAGGCCUUUGUGAAUUAUUUUUCAUUAAGUUGUCAUACAACUUACGUCAAUGGGCUUGACGUUCGAAGCCCAUUGGGCCUUGAGGCCCAAAACUAACCCGUGGUCUUUUAACGAACUUUAUUCGUUUGAUUAAUUAACAUAUUAAUUAAUCCUUGCCAUAAAUAAUUAAACCAUUUAAUUAUUCUUACUCAUCUCCGUUGUUUCUUCAAUCUCUACCUUACACGGUGUACGAUCCAUUAGGUUCCUUUUAGCGAGGCAGUGGGUGAUUAAAACUCUUUCAAAUUGAUUGUGAAUUGAAACUUACUUUCAAUUCUCCCUUUAGUGUUUAUACACGUUUAGGGCUUCCACAAACCAUGAGUGAUACCUAGCAGCAUAUCAUGGUUACCCAAGCUAAUCAGAAGAGGUGGAGAACCUAUUCAGUUUAGGAUUACAAUGCAAUACGGUCUUUCUCUAAUACAAUACUCUUGACCACAUUGUUUGGUUUGAUAGUUUAUUCAUGUCUACUAUCCAAUGUGAUUCAUUUACUUAUAUGAUUAUCUUGAAUGUGAUUUGGAACGACUUCCUAAAUCUCAUUCAUACUCUGGCAAGAUAUUCUUAAUCAUAUCAUAGAGUAUUCUCCCUCAAACGGUUUGAAGGUUAGAGAUCCCUUGUUGCGCAUUCACUUGCCUCCAUGGCUAAGUGGCUUAACCCGAACUAUGCCGUGGACACCCGCGAAUGGAGUGACUUUGACAUAAUCAAAGAUCAAGGACCUAACCACAAGACAACUAUGAUGCCUCAGGUCAAAGGACUACUUUGCAUUAUCCCAACCAUGAGUUCUCAUGUGACAUGAGUAUGAGAACUCUUUAUUGAUCGUGUUUAGUGAACUCAUUCGCUAUUGAGCACCUACAUGCUUGUCUUGGUGUCAAUCACACCAAUGACUCGAGACUAGUCACUCUCCCUAAGAGAAGACAUAGCAUGUAUUGAUCUUAACGGAUUGUCAAUGCCUAAUUGGCAAACCUAUGAUCAGGAACGUUUAGGAUAUGUAUACGAAAGAGAAUGGUCUCAUAAAUCUAA